UUGGUUCUCAGAAAAGGUAUUUCUCCAUCUUUGCUAGUGCCGGAGUCAUGUCAGGAGAAGGCUAACUGCAGAAGGAGCUGGAAAGAAAAUAUGCCUCAGGACAAGGUUUGAAUUCUUCUUAUGUGGGAAAACAUAGCAAGAAAAUACCGGUACAUUCAUUUUAUUAUAAAGCAAGAGGGGAUAAUUGUCCAACAGCCUUAGCUUUGCUGGGAAGAAGACUGAAGCAGAAAAACCUCAGGCAACAAAACUCAGCGCUGAGCAAAAUAAUUUCUUCUAUCUGACUUCAGUGGCCCUUGAGGAAUGGGCAGAGCACCUGCAAGCCACCCCUUACAUAAGGGAAACUGUGAAGUUCCAACCAAGCCAAAGGAUGUUAAUGCAACAAUCUGUGCCAGAGAGAGAGAGAAAUAUAUCAUGAUGUAUCAUCCCUUUCCUCAGUACACUAAAAAAUACCUUUGGUAUCCAAAGGGGAGAGUGAAAAUCUUUCAGAGAGUUUAACGAUAAAGUAGGAGUAUCAGCAAAUUCAUCCACUACAGAUAUUAUGGAUGUCUGAGGCAUUGUGAAACAUUCCUAGCUUUCAUGAAUUUUAUAUAUUAAAGAUUUUCUUAUGUCUUCAGUAACCAUUUUGAUGUAUGGCUCUCCUGUUUCCAAGAUUAUUAUUUUUUCCUAUUUCAUAUGAAAUUCUUUCGGUCAUCUGUUUUGUUCCAGGUCUCAAACUAUAUACUUAGCAGUUUCUUUUACUGAUGUAGAAAUCUUAUCCUGGUAACCAAACACCUUCUAGAUACCGAUUCAGAAAAGUACUUACACACAUGUUUAGUUUAAAGUUAAUGGGGCUUAAGUGUUGUACUGAAUAGGGAUGAACUUAAGUAUAUGUUGCUGAACUAGGGCCUUUACAUCUUAACAAGCAGAGAUUAGAGCAGGCACUGUAGGGCAAUGUAUGAUCAGCUAGUACUUUUUCUAGCUGCUGUGGCAGUUUCUGUCAUGAAUUGAUUGAAGGAGUGUACAUUUGCCUUUGCUUUGGAAGCAUCGUGACUGAGGGAACUGGGAUUGUUUAGUCUGCAGAAGAUGAGGGGG